rnacentral:SRP_RNA from 1 species
GCCGGGCGCAGUGGCAUGUGCCUGCAGUCCCAGCUACUCGGGAGGCUCAGGUGGGAGGAUCGCUUGAGCCCAGGAGUUCUGGGCUUUGAUCUAUGCCGAUCGGUUGUCUGUACUAAGUUCGGCAUUGAUAUGGUGACCUCCUGGGAGCGGGGGACCACCAGCUUGCCUAAGGAGGGGUGAACUGGCCCAGGUUGGAAACGGAACAGGUCAAAACUCCCGUGCUGAUAAGUAGCGGGAUUGUGCCUGUGAAUAGCCACUGCACUCCAGCCUGGGCAACAUAGCGAGACCCCAUCUCUA